AGCUCCAAUAGCGUAUAUUAAAGUUGUUGCAGUUAAAAAGCUCGUAGUUGGAUUUGUGGUUGACAUAAGGCUUCCGUCCCUUUUGGGUUUUGGUGUCGCCUGACGUUGCCAUCCUUGGGUGGAAUCUGUGUGGCAUUACGUUGUCAUGCAGGGGAUGCCCAUUAUUUACUGUGAAACAAUUAGAGUGUUCAAAGCAGGCUUAUGCCGUUGAAUAUGUUAGCAUGGAAUAAUAAGAUAGGACCUUGGUACUAUUUUGUUGGUUUGGGCACUGAGGUAAUGAUUAAUAGGGACGGUUGGGGGUAUUCGUAUUCCAUUGUCAGAGGUCAAAUUCUUGGAUUUUUGGAAGACAAACUACUGCGAAAGCAUUUACCAAGGAUGUUUUCA
rnacentral:rRNA from 1 species